CGGCCUGAAGGGCGCAAGCUCGGGUCGCACUUCGUCGGCGCGUCCGUCGAGCGAUGCUUUCUGGAUCAUGUAGGGCAGCGGCUUCACCUCCGCGUCCGCGGGCGCCGCGGGGUCGGCGAGCCCGGUAUAGACCUCAUGCACGGCGGUGAGCUCGCCCUCGCGCUCGAAGCGCACGAGCCCGAAGUUCGCGCGAAACAGAAUCUGGCGCGAAUGGCGCAGGCGGUCGAAUUGGUCCUGAUGGCGCGCGGCGAUCGCGAGAUAGGCUGCGAGCUCCUUCCCCGGCUCGGCCUUCAGAGUCAGGAUCUUCUCGAUACGCUCGAGGUCCGGCUCGAGCGAUCGC
rnacentral:misc_RNA from 1 species